rnacentral:sRNA from 1 species
UUGCACAAGGGAUAGCAGUGGAAAUCCUUUAUACCCUGUCAGGGUUAAAAAAACCUGACAGGGUAUAAAGAUUGUAGCGUAUAGCCCGACCACGC